AGCCUUGAGGUGUAUUACAUGUUGGAUUGCAAAUCUUAAGUAGCAGAUUGACGUCUGCCGGGGCUU
rnacentral:tRNA from 1 species